rnacentral:lncRNA from 1 species
UUCCCUCUCUCCAAUUUAUCCUCUCUUUUCCCUCCUCAGGUUACCUCCCUGGCCCCAGAUGGCCAUGUCAGCGGCCUAAGUGGCCAUCUGCAGGAGAAGAGGAAGCAGACCCUGGGGCACGAGGCCUGGGAGAUGAAGCUGGGGACUAGUUCCCCUUUUGCUCUGGGCAGCCCUGAAGGCGAUCAAGCAUCCCUACCGGAACGUCGGGCUACUGCUGGAGCGACGGUUCUGCAGGGAGCCGGCCGUCAUCCCCACGCUGCCCUCGGGAGAGCCCAUCUUCUCACCGCGGCACCACCCGCUGCCCUGCUCCCCGGACUGCUCCAGCUUGCAGCCCCACAGCCAUCUGGAGAGGCUCUUUUUCAGCUGUUAGUGUGGCCCCCAGACACUUCAAUGCGAUCAGUUCAAACCUCGUGGGACCUCAGCACCAACAGCCUCUUCCAGCAAACAGCUCCGCAGCCAACUCAGCCUGGUGAUUAUUGCCUGACUGCUGGGGCAGACGGAGGUCCUACCGCUCUGGAAGGAAAAUGCCCAGCUGUCCCUGCUCUGCCACCUCCUAGAGCUGAUGAAGCCCUCCUUGCUUGGGCAGCAUGUAGUUGCCAGCUGUGCAUCUUGGAGAAGCCCAAGGUCACAGCCAGAAGUCAGGGGCACCCUGGACCAAGAGGUAAGGACCCGACACCCUCCGCAUCUCCCAUUCCCUCAACGGACAG